UAGUUUCAUUCGCUUUCGCUUUCAAAGUCAUUUUAGCCAAACUCUUGACAAGAUCUAGUUCCUCUGCAUGUGUGGUGGACGCUAACAAGGGGUCAGCGUAUGGUCCAAGUCUCAUAAGCACAAUAUUUCGGCGAAGCAAUGGAAGAAUUUUUGUCACACGCCGUGGAAGCAACUGAACGAGGUUUGCGACGUGGCGGAAGUCGCAUAAAUUUCAGCUUGAUUUUAUUCAACUUGACGUCCCUCGUGUUCUUCUGCCUCCUCAUAAAAACGGUGGCGUACGGCUACGUUUAUUUCGCAUCUGGGAAAACGGAAUGGGAAAAGAGGAGGAGGAGUAGCAAUGUAAAUUCGGAGGAGGUUGAUCGUGCCACAAAGAAUGUCUUUGGUCAUGGAAAUUCAAAUUUUAAAAUUUAAUUUAAUCUAAGUAAUUUUAGAAGGGUCAAGCUGAAACGUACUUUUGAGAUUUAGUGAUUUUAUAAGAAAAAUAGUUAUGUGACAAGUUUUCGUAGACAUGUAGAUAGUUAAGAAGAGACUCCGGCGAAUAAUUGGGUCAUUAAUAUUUAUUGUAAUAUUGAUAUACUAAUAAAGAUUAUUUAAGAAAAUUGUA